rnacentral:rRNA from 1 species
AAAGAUUAAGCCAUGCAUGUCUAAGCACAUGCCUUAAUACGGUGAAGCCGCGAAUAGCUCAUUACAACAGCCACCGUUUACUAGAAUAUAGUUAUCCUACUUGGAUAACUGUGGCAAUUCUAGAGCUAAUACAUGCAAAAAAGCUCUGCCCGCAAGGAACGAGCGCAUUUAUUAGAAUAAAAACCAAUCGGGUUUCGGCCCGUUUAUUGGUGAAUCUGAAUAACUUUGCCAAUCGCACAGUCCUAGUACUGGCGAUGUAUCCUUCAAAUGUCUGCCUUAUCAACUUUCGAUGGUAGGUUAUACGCCUACCAUGGUAUUAACGGGUAACGGAGAAUAAGGGUUCGACUCCGGAGAGGGAGCCUGAGAAACGGCUACCACAUCCAAGGAAGGCAGCAGGCGCGCAAAUUACCCACUUUCAGAACGAAGAGGUAGUGACGAAAAAUAACGAGACAGUCCUCUUCGAGGUCUGUCAUCGGAAUGGGUACAAUUUAAAUCCUUUAACGAGGAUCUAUUGGAGGGCAAGUCUGGUGCCAGCAGCCGCGGUAAUUCCAGCUCCAAUAGCGUAUAUUAAAGUUGUUGCGGUUAAAACGCUCGUAGUUGGAUUUGCGGCCUCGGAGAACGGUCCCCCGAAAGGGUGGUCACUGUCUCUCCUAGCCUAAAUUCGAGUCGUCUCUAGGUGCUCUUAACCGGGUGCUUAGAGUGACUAGAACGUUUACUUUGAAAAAAUUAGAGUGCUUAAAGCAGGCGAAAUAGCCUGAAUAAGGUGCAUGGAAUAAUGGAAUAGGACCUCGGUUCUAUUUUGUUGGUUUUCGGAACCCGAGGUAAUGAUUAAGAGGAACAGACGGGGGCAUUCGUAUUCCGGCGCUAGAGGUGGAAUUCUUGGACCGCCGGAAGACGAACAACUGCGAAAGCAUUUGCCAAGAAUG